rnacentral:rRNA from 1 species
ACGGGUGAGUAACACGUGGGUAACCUGCCUGUAAGACUGGGAUAACUCCGGGAAACCGGAGCUAAUACCGGAUAGUUCCUUGAACCGCAUGGUUCAAGGAUGAGAGACGGUUUCGGCUGUCACUUACAGAUGGACCCGCGGCGCAUUAGCUAGUUGGUGAGGUAACGGCUCACCAAGGCAACGAUGCGUAGCCGACCUGAGAGGGUGAUCGGCCACACUGGGACUGAGACACGGCCCAGACUCCUACGGGAGGCAGCAGUAGGGAAUCUUCCGCAAUGGACGAAAGUCUGACGGAGCAACGCCGCGUGAGUGAUGAAGGUUUUCGGAUCGUAAAGCUCUGUUGUUAGGGAAGAACAAGUGCAAGAGUAACUGCUUGCACCUUGACGGUACCUAACCAGAAAGCCACGGCUAACUACGUGCCAGCAGCCGCGGUAAUACGUAGGUGGCAAGCGUUGUCCGGAAUUAUUGGGCGUAAAGGGCUCGCAGGCGGUUUCUUAAGUCUGAUGUGAAAGCCCCCGGCUCAACCGGGGAGGGUCAUUGGAAACUGGGAAACUUGAGUGCAGAAGAGGAGAGUGGAAUUCCA